rnacentral:rRNA from 1 species
ACCCUCGGGUGACAGGGAGACAGGUGGUGCAUGGUUGUCGUCAGCUCGUGUCGUGAGAUGUUGGGUUAAGUCCCGCAACGAGCGCAACCCCUACGUUUAGUUUGCUAACGCGUGAAGGUCGAGCACUCGUAGACGAACUGCCGUUGACAAAACGGAGGAAGGUGGGGAUGACGUCAAAUCAUCAUGCCCCUUAUGUUCUGGGCUACACACGUGCUACAAUGGCCGGUACAGACGGACGCAAAGCCGCGAGGUGGAGCAAAUCCUAAAAAGCCGGUCUCAGUUCGGAUUGCAGGCUGCAAUUCGCCUGCAUGAAGUCGGAAUCGCUAGUAAUCGCAGGUCAGCAUACUGCGGUGAAUACGUUCCCGGGCCUU